AGUGAACGCUGGCGGUAGGCCUAACACAUGCAAGUCGAACGGCAGCACAGUAAGAGCUUGCUCUUACGGGUGGCGAGUGGCGGACGGGUGAGGAAUACAUCGGAAUCUACUUUUUCGUGGGGGAUAACGUAGGGAAACUUACGCUAAUACCGCAUACGACCUACGGGUGAAAGCAGGGGAUCUUCGGACCUUGCGCGACUGAAUGAGCCGAUGUCGGAUUAGCUAGUUGGCGGGGUAAAGGCCCACCAAGGCGACGAUCCGUAGCUGGUCUGAGAGGAUGAUCAGCCACACUGGAACUGAGACACGGUCCAGACUCCUACGGGAGGCAGCAGUGGGGAAUAUUGGACAAUGGGCGCAAGCCUGAUCCAGCCAUACCGCGUGGGUGAAGAAGGCCUUCGGGUUGUAAAGCCCUUUUGUUGGGAAAGAAAAGCAGCAGGUUAAUACCCCGCUGUCCUGACGGUACCCGAUGAAUAAGCACCGGCUAACUUCGUG
rnacentral:rRNA from 1 species